UACGUAGGGUGCAAGCGUUAAUCGGAAUUACUGGGCGUAAAGCGUGCGCAGGCGGUGAUGUAAGACAGAUGUGAAACCUCCGGGCUCAACCUGGGAACUGCAUUUGUGACUGCAUCGCUGGAGUGCGGCAGAGGGGGAUGGAAUUCCGCGUGUAGCAGUGAAAUGCGUAGAUAUGCGGAGGAACACCGAUGGCGAAGGCAAUCCCCUGGGCCUGCACUGACGCUCAUGCACGAAAGCGUGGGGAGCAAACAGG
rnacentral:rRNA from 1 species